UACGUAGGGUGCGAGCGUUAAUCGGAAUACUGGGCGUAAAGCGUGCGCAGGCGGUGAUGUAAGACAGGUGUGAAAUCCCCGGGCUUAACCUGGGAACUGCAUUUGUGACUGCAUCGCUGGAGUGCGGCAGAGGGGGGAUGGAAUUCCGCGUGUAGCAGUGAAAUGCGUAGAUAUGCGGAGGAACACCGAUGGCGAAGGCAAUCCCCUGGGCCUGCACUGACGCUCAUGCACGAAAGCGUGGGAGCAA
rnacentral:rRNA from 1 species